rnacentral:rRNA from 1 species
UAGGGAAUCUUCCACAAUGGACGCAAGUCUGAUGGAGCAACGCCGCGUGAGUGAAGAAGGCUUUCGGGUCGUAAAACUCUGUUAUUGAAGAAGAACGUGUGUGACAGUAACUGGUCAUGCAGUGACGGUAUUCAAUCAGAAAGUCACGGCUAACUACGUGCCAGCAGCCGCGGUAAUACGUAGGUGGCAAGCGUUGUCCGGAUUUAUUGGGCGUAAAGCGAGUGCAGGCGGUCUUUUAAGUCUGAUGUGAAAGCCUUCGGCUUAACCGAAGAAGGGCAUCGGAAACUGG